rnacentral:rRNA from 1 species
CCUACGGGCGGCAGCAGUGGGGAAUAUUGCACAAUGGGGGAAACCCUGAUGCAGCGACGCCGCGUGAGUGAAGAAGUAUUUCGGUAUGUAAAGCUCUAUCAGAAGGGCAGACAAAAGACGGUACCUGACUAAGAAGCACCGGCUAACUAAGUGCCAGCAGCCGAGGUCAUACGUAGGGGGCAAGCGUUAUCCGGAUUUACUGGGUUGAACGGGUGCGUAGACGGAGAAGCAAGUCUGAAGUGAAAGCCCGUGGCUUAACCACGGGACUGCUUUGGAAACUGUUUGACUAGAGUGCUGGAGAGGUAAGUGGAAUUCCUAGUGUAGCGGUGAAAUGCGUAGAUAUUAGGAGGAACACCAGUGGCGAAGGCGGCUUACUGGACAGUAACUGACGUUGAGGCUCGAAAGCGUGGGGAGCAAACAGGAUUAGAUACCCUGGUAGUC